rnacentral:rRNA from 1 species
CCCUUAGAUGUUCUGGGCCGCACGCGCGCUACAAUGGCAGACUCAGCGAGUUACCUCUGUCGAAAGGCACAGGGAAUCUUUACAGUAUCCGCCGUGAUGGGGAUAGACCCUUGUAAUUUUUGGUCUUCAACGAGGAAUUCCUAGUAAACGCAAGUCAUUAACUUGCAUUGAUUACGUCCCUGCCCUUUGUACACACCGCCCGUCGCACCUACCGAUUGAAUGGUCCGGUGAAGUCCUCGGACCCAGUUGAACCUCGAGUUGAACAGGGAAAGUUGACUAAAUCUUACCAUUUAGAGGAAGGUGAAGUCGUAACA